rnacentral:tRNA from 1 species
GGGCCCAUAGUAAAUUGGCAUUACGCUUCCAUGGCAUGGAAGAGGGCCGGGUUCGAUUCCCGGUGGGUCCACAA